GUGGGUUGCAAAAGAAGUAGGUAGCUUAACCUUCGGGAGGGCGCUUACCACUUUGUGAUUCAUGACUGGGGUGAAGUCGUAACAAGGUAACCGUAGGGGAACCUGCGGUUGGAUCACCUCCUUACCUGAAAGAA
rnacentral:rRNA from 27 species